GCACAGUGAGAACUAGAAAAGCACAAAGUAGGUGACUGUGUGGAUGCCUGUUCAAAACAUUGCAAACUUUAGUCAUUUCAAAUAUCUGAUAGUCAGUCUCAGUCGUACAUCGUUCUUGCUGUGAGUAGCUUUGAUAGCUGUGCACACCUUCCUGCUUCACCCACAGGCUGUCUGAAGGUAUACACAGCUCUCAUAGGGACUUCACAAUAACAACGAUAUGAAGUAAUAAGUCUGGCAAAAAUAACUGGUUUAAACAGUUUAUUUAAGCUUGCAAUGUUUUGAACAGACAUCCCCACAGUCAGCUCAUUUGUCGUUGUGUAGUCCUCGCUGAGAGUCCUGCUAUCUUUACCACAGCCUCAGAUACUCGCACUGAACGAGCAGCAAAUGUUCCUAUGGAGCCAAAUAUAGCAGAAGAGAAAUGUGAACCACAGACCAAACGAUCAAGAUAUGCAUUUCCUGGUUAGUCGACAUUGGCUGCUCUGAUUGUUAUUGAAUUACUGACCGAAUACUUUGAGAAAGCUGUGGGCUUUUGAAAGCAACUUAACGUGGAAUGACUCCAGAGCGACUGAUUUCCGGACCCUGGGGCUCAGAGGGCUUCCUAUUAUCCGUGGCCACAGAGCAGGCUUUGACUCUGAUGAGGACUGGUUCCGCUGCGUUGACAUUGGGAUCCUCCUGGUUGAGAUGAAGGUGCUGUGCCCUCAUCUUCCCUGCAUCACAGUCCAGCCCCGCUGAAGAUCAUCACGGAGGGACAAGUUGUGAUGGACAACAUUCAAGACCUGCCAAAAGCUCUGUGCAUUCUGUGUGGACUUCCAUAUGCACUGCAUCUCAACUACCCCGAGUCUAUGGUGCUCACAGUUCAUCCUAAAGGUACUGCUCACGUUGGGCCGAGGUGAACUCAGACCAAGGUUACAGACAUUGAAGAACUGCAAUGUGAAGAAAUGCACAGACACUUGUGACCUUCUGUUCAUCUGCUGCCAGUUCUCUCAGAUAUAAACAUCUCAAAGUAGAAAUAAAAAUAAAGUGGAAUUACAGAAAGUAUAUCUUCUCUAACUCCAGUUUAUUUUUACUUUAUAUCUCAAAAUAGAAAUAAUAUCAACAAUGCUAUUUGCACCCGGGUGCGUAGCUAGUUGUGCUCGCUCGAAUAUUGACCCAAUUCUGGCUCCAUAAUCAGCACUUGAGUCCUGGCUCUGCUGGGAGGGGCUUCUGGUCCUCACCACACACUCUUUACCGUAAACCUCCAGCCGUCCUCACCGGGCUGCAGCCCCUCGCUCUUCUGAUCCUCCUGUCACAUUCCUCACCUGGACCUCAGUCCUCCCCUGCUGACCGCAUGGAAGGGGGGCUCAAUGUGAAGUUCAAUGGCAGAUUCAACAUUGGUUUUUUUCUUAGUUGUUCCUUUCAAUAAUAAUUGAACAACAGGAACGUAAAGAAACACAACGCUGAAAUCAGUUAUUGUCCCUCAUUGUUUUUCUCCCAGCACCUACUCGUAAUAAACCAAACAAACAUUGUCUUUCAUUAUAAGAUAAAUCCAACUAAAGCUAAAUACUCAUAUACUCACAUUUAGUUAAAUGUUUAUAAACAAAUGCAUUUUUAGUAGUCUGUUUUCUUAAGUCACAUUUGAUUGUUACCUGAAUCAAAAGAAGUGUGCGUGAGUUAUAGAAUGUAUUCCUCAUCGCCUGUGAACAAUCUAUUUAUUUGCUUGUGGAAGUUGGAGUGGGAAUAAGACUCGGAUAAAGAAAUGUUCGACUUCUCGUAAACUGUUCUGUAUUUGUCACGGCUCAGUCCUAUAGGCAGGUGGGG